rnacentral:rRNA from 1 species
UACGUAGGGGGCAAGCGUUGUUCGGAAUUACUGGGCGUAAAGGGCGCGUAGGCGGCACGACAAGUCGGGCGUGAAAGCCCGGGGCUCAACCCCGGAAUGUCUCUCGAAACUGUCGAGCUAGAGUGCAGAAGAGGCAACUGGAAUUCCCAGUGUAGCGGUGAAAUGCGUAGAUAUUGGGAAGAACACCUGAGGCGAAGGCGGGUUGCAGGGCUGACACUGACGCUGAGGCGCGAAAGCCAGGGGAGCGAACGGG